AGAGUUUGAUCAUGGCUCAGAUUGAACGCUGGCGGCAGGCCUAACACAUGCAAGUCGAGCGGUAGCACAGAGAGCUUGCUCUCGGGUGACGAGCGGCGGACGGGUGAGUAAUGUCUGGGAAACUGCCUGAUGGAGGGGGAUAACUACUGGAAACGGUAGCUAAUACCGCAUAACGUCGCAAGACCAAAGUGGGGGACCUUCGGGCCUCAUGCCAUCAGAUGUGCCCAGAUGGGAUUAGCUAGUAGGUGGGGUAAUGGCUCACCUAGGCGACGAUCCCUAGCUGGUCUGAGAGGAUGACCAGCCACACUGGAACUGAGACACGGUCCAGACUCCUACGGGAGGCAGCAGUGGGGAAUAUUGCACAAUGGGCGCAAGCCUGAUGCAGCCAUGCCGCGUGUGUGAAGAAGGCCUUCGGGUUGUAAAGCACUUUCAGCGGGGAGGAAGGCGUUAAGGUUAAUAACCUUGUCGAUUGACGUUACCCGCAGAAGAAGCACCGGCUAACUCCGUGCCAGCAGCCGCGGUAAUACGGAGGGUGCAAGCGUUAAUCGGAAUUACUGGGCGUAAAGCGCACGCAGGCGGUCUGUCAAGUCGGAUGUGAAAUCCCCGGGCUCAACCUGGGAACUGCAUUCGAAACUGGCAGGCUAGAGUCUUGUAGAGGGGGGUAGAAUUCCAGGUGUAGCGGUGAAAUGCGUAGAGAUCUGGAGGAAUACCGGUGGCGAAGGCGGCCCCCUGGACAAAGACUGACGCUCAGGUGCGAAAGCGUGGGGAGCAAACAGGAUUAGAUACCCUGGUAGUCCACGCCGUAAACGAUGUCGAUUUGGAGGUUGUGCCCUUGAGGCGUGGCUUCCGGAGCUAACGCGUUAAAUCGACCGCCUGGGGAGUACGGCCGCAAGGUUAAAACUCAAAUGAAUUGACGGGGGCCCGCACAAGCGGUGGAGCAUGUGGUUUAAUUCGAUGCAACGCGAAGAACCUUACCUGGUCUUGACAUCCACAGAACUUUCCAGAGAUGGAUUGGUGCCUUCGGGAACUGUGAGACAGGUGCUGCAUGGCUGUCGUCAGCUCGUGUUGUGAAAUGUUGGGUUAAGUCCCGCAACGAGCGCAACCCUUAUCCUUUGUUGCCAGCGGUUAGGCCGGGAACUCAAAGGAGACUGCCAGUGAUAAACUGGAGGAAGGUGGGGAUGACGUCAAGUCAUCAUGGCCCUUACGACCAGGGCUACACACGUGCUACAAUGGCAUAUACAAAGAGAAGCGACCUCGCGAGAGCAAGCGGACCUCAUAAAGUAUGUCGUAGUCCGGAUUGGAGUCUGCAACUCGACUCCAUGAAGUCGGAAUCGCUAGUAAUCGUAGAUCAGAAUGCUACGGUGAAUACGUUCCCGGGCCUUGUACACACCGCCCGUCACACCAUGGGAGUGGGUUGCAAAAGAAGUAGGUAGCUUAACCUUCGGGAGGGCGCUUACCACUUUGUGAUUCAUGACUGGGGUGAAGUCGUAACAAGGUAACCGUAGGGGAACCUGCGGUUG
rnacentral:rRNA from 2 species